GAUGUGAAGGCGAUCUGGGUGUGACAUGUCAACUUACUAAUCACCAGGGCUGAUUUGGCUGAUCUGGCUGGCUAGACAAGUGUCCUCUUCCUCCCUCACCAUUACAUAUGCAUAACUUCCAAAGGCACUCACUAACUAGGUCGAAGAGAAUGGUCAUCCUUAAUAGUUGUGCUCCCCAAA
rnacentral:snRNA from 1 species